rnacentral:rRNA from 1 species
CAGCCGCCGCGGGAAUACGUAGGGUGCAAGCGUUAAUCGGAAUUACUGGGCGUAAAGCGUGCGCAGGCGGUUAUAUAAGACAGAUGUGAAAUCCCCGGGCUCAACCUGGGAACUGCAUUUGUGACUGUAUAGCUAGAGUACGGCAGAGGGGGAUGGAAUUCCGCGUGUAGCAGUGAAAUGCGUAGAUAUGCGGAGGAACACCGAUGGCGAAGGCAAUCCCCUGGGCCUGUACUGACGCUCAUGCACGAAAGCGUGGGGAGCAAACAGGAUUAGAUACCCGGGUAGUCCCUGUCUCUUAUAC